AGAGUUUGAUCCUGGCUCAGGACGAACGCUGGCGGCGUGCCUAAUACAUGCAAGUAGAACGCUGAAGAGAGGAGCUUGCUCUUCUUGGAUGAGUUGCGAACGGGUGAGUAACGCGUAGGUAACCUGCCUUGUAGCGGGGGAUAACUAUUGGAAACGAUAGCUAAUACCGCAUAACAAUGGAUGACACAUGUCAUUUAUUUGAAAGGGGCAAUUGCUCCACUACAAGAUGGACCUGCGUUGUAUUAGCUAGUAGGUGAGGUAAUGGCUCACCUAGGCGACGAUACAUAGCCGACCUGAGAGGGUGAUCGGCCACACUGGGACUGAGACACGGCCCAGACUCCUACGGGAGGCAGCAGUAGGGAAUCUUCGGCAAUGGGGGCAACCCUGACCGAGCAACGCCGCGUGAGUGAAGAAGGUUUUCGGAUCGUAAAGCUCUGUUGUAAGUCAAGAACGGGUGUGAGAGUGGAAAGUUCACACUGUGACGGUAGCUUACCAGAAAGGGACGGCUAACUACGUGCCAGCAGCCGCGGUAAUACGUAGGUCCCGAGCGUUGUCCGGAUUUAUUGGGCGUAAAGCGAGCGCAGGCGGUUUGAUAAGUCUGAAGUUAAAGGCUGUGGCUCAACCAUAGUUCGCUUUGGAAACUGUCAAACUUGAGUGCAGAAGGGGAGAGUGGAAUUCCAUGUGUAGCGGUGAAAUGCGUAGAUAUAUGGAGGAACACCGGUGGCGAAAGCGGCUCUCUGGUCUGUAACUGACGCUGAGGCUCGAAAGCGUGGGGAGCGAACAGGAUUAGAUACCCUGGUAGUCCACGCCGUAAACGGUGGAUGCUGGAUGUGGGGCCCGUUCC
rnacentral:rRNA from 1 species